AGUGAACGCUGGCGGUAGGCCUAACACAUGCAAGUCGAACGGCAGCACAGUAAAAGCUUUCUCUUACGGGUGGCGAGUGGCGGACGGGGGAGGAAUACAUCGUAAGCUACUUUUUCGUGGGUGAUAACGUAGGGAAACUUACGCUAAUACCUCAUACGACCUACGGGUGAAAGCAGGGGAUCUUCGGACCUGGCGCGAUAGAAGUAGCCGAUGUCGGAUUAGCUAGUUGGCGGGGUAAAGGCCCACCAAGGCGACGAUCCGUAGCUGGUCUGAGAGGAUGAUCAGCCACACUGGAACUGAGACACGGUCCAGACUCCUACGGGAGGCAGCAGUGGGGAAUAUUGGACAAUGGGCGCAAGCCUGAUCCAGCCAUACCGCGUGGGUGAAGAAGGCCUUCGGGUUGUAAAGCCCUUUUGUUGGGAAAGAAAAGCAGCAGGUUAAUACCCCGCUGUUCUGACGGUACCCAAAGAAUAAGCACCGGCUAACUUCGUG
rnacentral:rRNA from 1 species